rnacentral:rRNA from 1 species
AAAUUGAAGAGUUUGAUCAUGGCUCAGAUUGAACGCUGGCGGCAGGCCUAACACAUGCAAGUCGAGCGGUAGCACAGAGAGCUUGCUCUCGGGUGACGAGCGGCGGACGGGUGAGUAAUGUCUGGGAAACUGCCUGAUGGAGGGGGAUAACUACUGGAAACGGUAGCUAAUACCGCAUAAUGUCGCAAGACCAAAGUGGGGGACCUUCGGGCCUCAUGCCAUCAGAUGUGCCCAGAUGGGAUUAGCUUGUAGGUGGGGUAACGGCUCACCUAGGCGACGAUCCCUAGCUGGUCUGAGAGGAUGACCAGCCACACUGGAACUGAGACACGGUCCAGACUCCUACGGGAGGCAGCAGUGGGGAAUAUUGCACAAUGGGCGCAAGCCUGAUGCAGCCAUGCCGCGUGUGUGAAGAAGGCCUUCGGGUUGUAAAGCACUUUCAGCGGGGAGGAAGGCGGUGAGGUUAAUAACCUCAUCGAUUGACGUUACCCGCAGAAGAAGCACCGGCUAACUCCGUGCCAGCAGCCGCGGUAAUACGGAGGGUGCAAGCGUUAAUCGGAAUUACUGGGCGUAAAGCGCACGCAGGCGGUCUGUCAAGUCGGAUGUGAAAUCCCCGGGCUCAACCUGGGAACUGCAUUCGAAACUGGCAGGCUAGAGUCUUGUAGAGGGGGGUAGAAUUCCAGGUGUAGCGGUGAAAUGCGUAGAGAUCUGGAGGAAUACCGGUGGCGAAGGCGGCCCCCUGGACAAAGACUGACGCUCAGGUGCGAAAGCGUGGGGAGCAAACAGGAUUAGAUACCCUGGUAGUCCACGCCGUAAACGAUGUCGAUUUGGAGGUUGUGCCCUUGAGGCGUGGCUUCCGGAGCUAACGCGUUAAAUCGACCGCCUGGGGAGUACGGCCGCAAGGUUAAAACUCAAAUGAAUUGACGGGGGGCCGCACAAGCGGUGGAGCAUGUGGUUUAAUUCGAUGCAACGCGAAGAACCUUACCUGGUCUUGACAUCCACAGAACUUAGCAGAGAUGCUUUGGUGCCUUCGGGAACUGUGAGACAGGUGCUGCAUGGCUGUCGUCAGCUCGUGUUGUGAAAUGUUGGGUUAAGUCCCGCAACGAGCGCAACCCUUAUCCUUUGUUGCCAGCGGUCCGGCCGGGAACUCAAAGGAGACUGCCAGUGAUAAACUGGAGGAAGGUGGGGAUGACGUCAAGUCAUCAUGGCCCUUACGACCAGGGCUACACACGUGCUACAAUGGCAUAUACAAAGAGAAGCGACCUCGCGAGAGCAAGCGGACCUCAUAAAGUAUGUCGUAGUCCGGAUUGGAGUCUGCAACUCGACUCCAUGAAGUCGGAAUCGCUAGUAAUCGUAGAUCAGAAUGCUACGGUGAAUACGUUCCCGGGCCUUGUACACACCGCCCGUCACACCAUGGGAGUGGGUUGCAAAAGAAGUAGGUAGCUUAACCUUCGGGAGGGCGCUUACCACUUUGUGAUUCAUGACUGGGGUGAAGUCGUAACAAGGUAACCGUAGGGGAACCUGCGGUUGGAUCACCUCCUUACCUUAAAGAA